rnacentral:lncRNA from 1 species
GCUACUUGGGUAUUUAAUUAGUCUUUGUAUUUGCUGAUUUAUAAUCUCAGCUUAUAAGUGAGAAUUAUCAGUGUAGAUGAGCAUCGCCAAUGUCUUAAUGUUUCCAGGAAUAAAUGUUUGUUUCUUUCAAUUCUUAUGCCAAGUGAGUUGUGUCAUAAUCCAAUUCACUGUAAAUAUAAAGGGGAAGAAUAUUGACAUCUAUUGAAAUGGACAAGAUUAAAGAAACGUGUAUAGUGUUUCUUUUGUCAUAAUCCAAUUCAGUAUACCAAACAUGACUUGAAAGAUCGACGGACUUAAUCGCACCCGUAAUACUUGCUGCAAAGCCGUAGAAAUACAGUCUUGU